GAGUUUGAUUGUGGCUCAGAUUGAACGCUGGCGGCAGGCCUAACACAUGCAAGUCGAGCGGAUGAAGGGAGCUUGCUCCUGGAUUCAGCGGCGGACGGGUGAGUAAUGCCUAGGAAUCUGCCUGGUAGUGGGGAUAACGUCCGGAAACGGGCGCUAAUACCGCAUACGUCCUGAGGGAGAAAGUGGGGGAUCUUCGGACCUCACGCUAUCAGAUGAGCCUAGGUCGGAUUAGCUAGUUGGUGGGGUAAAGGCCUACCAAGGCGACGAUCCGUAACUGGUCUGAGAGGAUGAUCAGUCACACUGGAACUGAGACACGGUCCAGACUCCUACGGGAGGCAGCAGUGGGGAAUAUUGGACAAUGGGCGAAAGCCUGAUCCAGCCAUGCCGCGUGUGUGAAGAAAGGUCUUCGGAUUGUAAAGCACUUUAAGUUGGGAGGAAGGGCGAGUAAGUUAAUACCUUGCUGUUUGUACGUUA
rnacentral:rRNA from 1 species